GAAAACUUGUAGUCUUUAUUGCUGAAGAUAUACAAAUCUCAUUUUACAUGCUCUUGGUAUAGCAUCUGACAUAUAAAAGACAAUUGCGUAAUUCUCAACUCCUAGAACCUCGAAGGGAUCUCUAGUUAAUUACAUUCAUAGCAUAUCUAUGAAAGACCUCCGAUUAAGCUGCCUCAAACGGUCAUCAUCAUUAUCAAACUCCUGGCUUCUGUCUCCAAGGCAAAAAGAAUAUGCAAACGCUCUGAGCAAAACAAUAAUCUCGCCAUGCCAAAAAUUUAUGGAUUCAUGCACCAAAUCAAACAAGGGAUAUAGAUCAAGUCUCAAAGAGAAAAUAAAGUGGAUCGUUCGGCCUCGUCGGUCACGAACAUGAUGUAUCCUGCCUCGUCGGCCAGGAAGUGUAUGUAAGUUCCGGCCUCGUCGGUCGCGGAAGAAAGUAUAUUGAGCAUGGACUUGAAGAUGAACCCUCAUCUGAUUGAGAAACAUGGUUCUGCAGAAUUUUGUCAAUGGCGUCUUGUUUAUUCCAGAGUGGGUAGCCAUGUCUUUAUUAAUAUUGGAUUAUCUCAUGAUGAGAAACCAUCCUUUGUAUAUCACGUGACCCCCUUGCUACCUCUGAAUAUAUGAUGUAUGCUGGACGAUGAUGUUGAUUCUUUUUGUACAGCUAUAUUGCUUUCCCUUGUGACUCCACACCAUGAAAUGUUUACGGCAACGAUUGAAGCGUCAGGUAGAGCCACGAAACAUCAUAACCUUCCCUUUUCCUUUUACUGAUCAAACCAUAAACAUCCGUGGUGACGACUUGAUCGCCAUGUAGAGCCACGGGAUGCCAUCAAACUGUUUUUUUGUAGAUCGGGUGAUAGAACGUCCGCGGCGACGAUUAGAUCGCCAUGUAGAGCCGCGGAUGCCGCCGAAUUCUUUCUAUAGAUCAAACAAGGAAACACCUGCGACGACGAUUAGAUCGCCAUGUAGAGCCGCGGGACACCGCCGAUUUUUGUUGUAGAUCAAACGAUGAGAUAUCCACGGCGACGACUAGAUCAUCAUGUAGAGCCGCGGGACACCGCCGAUUUUUGUUGUAGAUCAAACGAUGAGAUAUCCACGGCGACGACUAGAUCGUCAUGUAGAGCCGCGGGACACCGCCGAUUUUUGUUGUAGAUCAAACAAUGAGACAUCCUCGGCGACGAUUAGAUCGCCAUGUAAAGCCGCGAGAUGCCACAAAAAGAAGUGAACAAAGAGAAGAAAAAUAAAUAAAAGAGAUAAAUGAUCAUAUGCAACCUUCAUAUGAUUUACUCACCAUAUGGCUGUGCCAUCGACGCCGGCCACGGAGGGAAACGCCAGACGAGAAAUGAAGAUGUGUGUAUGUGUGAGUGCUGGGAUGGAGAUGAUACGAAGUGUGUGUGUGUGUGUGUGUUGAAUGGUGGUGAGAUGAGCGUGUAAAUGGUGCGCGCGUUGUGAGUGAGCUGAACCCCCUUUGCAGUCACUAGAGCAGCCCUUUUAUAGCAUCGUCUCCACCGGCGAAUAGAUAAAAAGAUAAGUACGAGAGAUUAGCAUCGUCGCCGCUGCCGUUAGUACUUAGUAACAAACCAUAUCUUAUCUCUAGUCUCUCGGUGUUGUUGAACCGAGAAAACAACAAACUCUUGGCCAAUACUUAUCUCUUCGUGGAUCUAGUCAAGUCCAAUUGAUUUAGCUUUUUUUAUCUCCAGCCGCUACACACCUUGCUUUGUACCAGUUUAAAUAUAUACGCGUCCAACUAGCCGGUGGCAUCGUACAAGAUUUCAUUCACGUUAUACGCACCAGACGUUUUUGCUGGGAUAGCUGCUGAUCAGUGGGUCCGUGCAUGCACAUAUGGUUCAUUCUAUUGGCAAACUGGCUGAUCCAAUAAACGAUUUGACCCAUACAAGUGAAUAUGCGUCAACGUGACUAGACCAGAUAAUUAUUAAAUAUAUAUAUUUGCCUCGCAUGAUGAGAGAAAAAAAAAUGGAGUCAAACAAAUGCCCCUCGCCAAGUUGAGUUCAAAUGCGAAGCAAUUUGGACUUAACUUGGCGAAAUAUUUCCAUACCUCAUCUGGAAAAGCCAAUCUCAACUGUCCGAGAUAACUGAGACACCCAAACCAUCGUAGAGACUCAAAGCCUCCUUUAGAUCCGCAACAACUCAGCCAACCUGCAGAUUCUAUAUCAACAACCAUCAUUAUCUUAAACUGACUGUACUAUAAAUACCCAUGCACUCCUCGGCUCAGCCCUUAAAACUUUUCUCCCAAGUUCCUGGUAUACGCAGCCGCACCCCAAUCCACGCAGCAGAACAAGGCUUCCUCCAUCGUAACUCUCAGGUAAAGCUGAAUAUCUUGUUUUUGCAAUUGCUUUCUCUCUCCUUUUAAUAGAUUAUAUAUGGGUGCUAGCAUUGUCAGCUAGCAAUCUUCUGUAAAACGAUCUAUACUAGAUUUCAGCCAAACUGCAGUUGAAGGCGGAAAAAAAGUAGAGUUGACAAUGCAAACUUCUUGAUUGGUUAAAGGCCACGGUUGCUCACUAGGCGGCUUUGCAUAGAGCGAUCAAGCUAAAACAGAUCUUACGCCAAGUACAGCCACAGCUGUAAUUCGCCCGUGGACAGGGGCGUCGUCUGCUGUACUUUGUAUGUAGUAGUCUUCGUUAGGCUGAGUCGAAGGGACAGUUGACAAGAGAUAGCAACCUGAAGCACAACGAUUUCAUCUGCUGCACUUGCAUCACGGAUUUCCACCAGAUUGUUCUGAAACCAAAGGAAGUUGCUGGAACUAGCGCAUGUAUUCGCAUCAUCAUAGCUUGCCACUGGAUGUCGUCCUUCUUAUUGAUUGCAUAGUCUUCGUCAGGUUCAGUUUCACUCAGUUGAAUAUCUUUGAGAAAUAUUGCGCUGUGUCAUGACAGAUUCACACCUUGAUAAAGUGUCCCAGUAGAUGGCAAAGGUGGCAUAUUGUCGCUUCAGAAACUUAUCGAGUACGAUGCCUAAAUAUUGAAACUGAAUUAUAUGACUGCCUUUUUUUUAUCCGUUUGACAGUACCACCAUCUACCCACAUGUAACCAUUUUUUUUACUCUUAUGCAGUUAAGAAAUCUUCCUUGUUCUUGUUGAAUGCAUAAUAAUUUCUUUCGGCGCCAUGGGAGCAGGCCCUUUGCAGAUCGGGAAGGGCCUAGGGAAGAAUACGACGGGCAUAUCAUCGCUGGGGAGCGACUGCAAAGGAACAGAGACGACCACCACAGUUUCGGUCGUGGGAAGGGUGGUUAUAAUCCUCUGUUUUACCGCCACAAUUUCAGUCAUGGAAGGAGAGGCUAUAAUCAUCGGCACUACCGCCACAAUUUCAGUCGUGGUAGGGUAAACCACAAUUCUUUGCCUUACCGUCACACUGUUACUCGGGAUUUUAGAACAGAACAUUCUUCUGAUUACGAUCGUCAGCACAAGUCUGAACUUGACAUCUCUGAUAUGAGUGAUAAACGCACGAAAAGCACUACAGAGGGUGGAUCCUUGGCUCAAAGAGAAAAACAGAAGGCAAAUGCAAACCUACUUCUCCACCAGUCUGUAUAUUUUAUAUGCUAUUCCCUUUCUUACUUAAACUCCCCUUUUUUUAAAAAAAGAAGGCUCGUCAGUGCUUCCUCUCAAACUGAAACUAGCCACAUCAGUGAUGGUGGCACAGAUAUCGACAAAAGCGCAGGCGACGAUGGUGAGGGCGUCAUUUGGGAAGAAUCGCAUGAGGUUUAUAAUGAUGACGCACUGAAGUUACUUGAUGUUGACAAAGAUAUUGAGGAUGAUGAUAUUGAGCCUUACAUUACUGAAGCCGCUAACUUAUUGGGCUUUGAGCGCACACAUAGGUUGAAGAUCCAAGCCGUGCCCCUUGACAAAUGCAAAGUCCCCACACCUCCUCAACAGUUAACGAACAAAGUCCUCCGUUUUGAAGGAUUUCAGUAUAAAAAUGAACUUGUUACAGCAGAUCAGGACACAACUUUUGUUGUUUUAGAGCCAAUUUCAAAAGAGGCGCCAUCGAUCAUUAUUAAUACCCUGGCACAGGAGUUCAUACGCAAUCCUGCGAAGCAGUGGCAUAACGAUUCUUCCCUUCAACUUUGUACUGCAAUCCCCUAUAACCAUAAACUGUUGCUUUGGGCUCGGAUGAUGCUCAUAUCAGAGGAAGACAAGGAAAUGUUGCUCAAGGCUGAUAUCUUCCGUGGUGUAUUGGCAUCUCUUUAUCAUGUUCCGAUCAAUCCUUCACUAGUUGCUGCCUUUCUUACAUUUUGGAACACUGACGGACAUACCUUGAUUACUUCUCAAGGGGAGAUGGGCUAUCCCCUUAUAGCUAUGUAUGAUGCUAUGGGCAUUCCAAUUUCUGGGCACCUUUAUGAGGAAUAUUUCCCAUUGCCGUCUGAAGUUUCAGAGAUUGUAAAAGUCCUUCACUCGGCCUAUGCUGAUAUCUGGGUGUUGCAUCAGAAUGGAAGCUCUUGUAAAGUCACUCUUCAAAAUUGGUUGGAUUAUUUUAUAGGUAUGAAAAUAAUAUAUAUAUUUUACAUAUACUUCUAUUCGACCAUAGUGUCUUAACCUGGACGGCAUAUAUCAUUGUAGGAGAAGAUCUCGGAGCUGUUGGCAAAACUGAAGCAAGGGUGCCAAGUCAUUUCUAUGCUGAUCCUGAAGAUCCCUUGCUCUCUCAUCUAGAGUUUCGCACGUUGUCUUUGCAGAAACGCUGGUCGGCUAGAUUUGGCAACCAUGUAAUUUUUUACAAGCAGACAUAUGAACGAGAAAUAUACUGUGCCGCCUUCAACGCAGCUUGGCUAUGCACAUACUGUGUUCCUAUCAAUAUGGGGUCCUUUAUUCGGCCGGAGGUCUUCUGUGCUGCAGCUAGACUUGCUCAAGGGAUCCGUCUUGCGAUUGGUACGGCAAGCAUGGCCUAUCUUUACCAAAGUCUUGAUAAUGUUUGUCAAGAGAUUAUAGCCGGAUCAAAGUCAGCAAGUGAGUGCCAACUGCCAUUACCUGCACAUUUUAUUAUGGGCUGGUUCUCCUCUUAUUGGAAAAUGACACCUUCACAACCAGCGGUGAAUCCAAAAAUUACUCACUUCCCGCCGUUCGUGACGGACGCAUGGAGAAUCACAUCUACAGCAAUUGAUCUGUUCAAAGCCCAUCAGUUGUUCCUUGACUCAGCUGCAGAUAGCAAAUCUCUGCUUUCCUUAUCUUUCUUGGGGAAAUCUCGCAUACGUUUCCCUCAGUCAGAGUCUGAAUUUUUGAUAAGUGAUGCACGAGAAGCCACAGAUGGUGGACGCCGUACUAUCCGUAUUACAACUAUCGACAUGCUAAUCAGUUGUGGUGUGGGUGCUGUUACACAUACUCAAUGUCAACUCCAUCACAACUUGGUAUAUUCCCCUCAUCGUUUUGCUCGGAUGCAUGGGUGUGAUCAAGAUGUCCCUGACUUCCUGAUGGAAGGACCCAAUGGAGAAUAUCUUCUGCAGUUUUCUAGUUAUUUGAAAGGCACCCGUGAGGAAACAACUGAGCACCUUCAGCGACGACACCUGGCUUACUACUUUCCAACCGGUCAUCAGCUUCAUUUACAGCCCUUGUCACGGCGAACCAAGCGCUCUAUUGAGUAUGUGACGUGGUGUACAUCAGCACUUGGUUUCCUCACUAAAGCUGAUAUGAUCUGUUCAGGUCAAGAACCAUCAUCUGCUCUCCAGAAAGGGGAGAUUGAAAUGCCUUCUAACACAGGUACAUAUUCCUCUUGUAGCAUUUUCUUUAAGUCUAGCUAACAAAAAAUAUAUUUGGCUGUAGCAAUUUCACGUACAUUGAAGAUCCAGAAGAAAAAUUCAACAAAGAUGAAUCUUGCCUCCACUAGUGACGAAGGAAAUAAGGCAGCCCCUAAUUCAGGUAACUGCAGAAUUUCAUUGUUCAUACUAAUGUCAUGCUGCUGUUCUCUUGUCUUUUCAGGUGAUAACAUUUUUUUUAAUACAGGUGCGCCUAUCAUCGGCGGCGUCACCAAACAGAAGAGGACUCGAGCUAGUUGCCGUAACAAGAAAAAUAAAAUGGCCCCUGAAUGUAAAAGAUAUUCCUCUUCACUGAAAACUAACUGUUCUUUAUUGAACUAUUGCAAGUCGAGCAGUGUACUGAUCAUAAAAAUUGUAUCCCCUUUGUAGCUUCACUCGAGCCUGCCACUGUCCAUUCAUCGAUAGAAAUUCCUCAGGUUUCAGAUAUCAAGACAAAUAUGACUUCGCCCGGAUUAGGUAAUGAGAAUUGUUUCUUAGCAUUAAAUGACUGUCUUUUGUAUGUUCUAAACUUGCUCCUGUUACAACCAUGUAUAUCUAUGAACAGAACAAAUAGCUGCCAAACAGUCUGACACACUGCUUACUGGAAAGAGAAACAAAUCCAAAGCGACGGCUGCUCGAUUCCUCAGAAUUUCACAUGCUCUCAUAACUGAUCACGGCAUAAAGAAGGAUGUGGUUACUACUGACUCUCAUGAUCCUAUAUCCGCUGACAGCGGAAUGUCACCACCCCAAGAGACCAACAUUCUUCAGACAGUUGGAGAAAAACGUUCCUCCCCUCACCGUGUAGCUGAAGUAGAGAAAUGUAGCUUGGAGAACCUCAACACUGAAGACAAACAUCUGGAUGUGACACUUGAACAUGCAGACCAACAGCAUGAUAGCCCCCCGAAGAAACCGCGUUUGGAUCGUCCAGGUAACUAGACCAAAGUUUGUUGUUUUGGUAGUACUGACAUAUAAUGUAAGCACGCAAAAUCUGCCCCGCUCACUGAACUUUUCUCAUUUCUCAUUCCAGGUGGAGGACAUGACUUGGAGAUGGCUUUGUCCAAAGCCGCAACACUGAAGUCCAGUAUGGACCAGACCAUAAAACGCUAUUUGGAGAACGUUGGUGAUGAAUUCAUCAGCCUUAAACGCAAUUCCGAGCGGAAGGAGCUCAACAAAUAUGAGGGACGUAGCAGGAUUGUGGUGCCCCAGUAUGCUGACCCUAGUCUGAGAGAUAUGAUGGUCUAUGUUCAGUCUGACCUUAAGAAGAUUCAGAAGUGGAUCGCUGCACCGAUAUUGGACAAAGUUGCUUUGAGUACACGGAUUGCAACAAUCUUGAACCGGUGGAGAACCAUGUUACAAACCAAAAUCCCGCAGGAGGUACAGGAACUCAUGAAUGAGUUAGAGUGCUUAAAGAUGAAUCUUGAUAGCAAGUCAGAUCAUGCUGUUCCCUUUAGUAUUUCCAAUCUGCGAGCAGAUGAAGAGCAUAUCAAAGAGCAGUUAAAAAUGGGUAAGAAGUCUCGUGAGUCCAUCAUGGUGGGAUACGACUCUCUUAAGGAUUACGGCAACGUAUGGGGCAGCCUCGAGGAUGAAGUGAAGAAAAGGAAAGAGGAAUAUCUCGAAAAGAUCAAGGAGCUGAACAAUGCCAUAAGAAUCGCGAGAUCCAAGCUCUCCCUGGAAAAGGAGUAUGAAACUAGGCUCAUUCAGCUUCACAACCAGUAUGACGAAAUAAUGAGCGAAGCACACACUUCCGUCUCUCGUUUGGAAGAAACCCUGGCACAAGGAAGUUCCUGCUUGGAGAGCAUUCAUAAGGCUAUUGGGGAAGCUGGGAGCCAAGGUGACUCUGAACUUCCUUCUGGUCUGCGUGAGCAACUCAAGUUCAUGGAAUCCUGCGCAGUGGAAGGUGUCGAACAGGAUGACGAGUAAAACCAUAUACAGCGUGUUCCUUUUACUUCAAAAUCAUUCAUGCUUUUUUUUCUUUUUUCUUUUUAAGAAAGCUCGCGUCGUAGUUUGCUUUUGUCAGCUGCUGGAUUUAUCACUGUAAUCCGCCUUAUUAUUUAUCAAUAAAGGAACACAUUCCUCUCUGCUAUCGCUGUUAUACUUGUACACUUUUUUUUACUAUAUGCUUUAUAUGACUGAAUUCCUUUGUGGGACUCCUUAUUCUUGAGCAUGAAACGGCAAAACCAGGCUAAAAUCUUGGUCAACGGAAACAUGUCUUUUGAGAAACGCGCAAGAAUGGCUUUCUUGUGCUGUAUGUCCAUCCUAACCUUCUGUACUAGUAAUUGUGAAGUAUCAUAUUAUCGACUUUAUUCAACAAAAUUAUUGCUUGAUUGCCAUCAUGUAAAUAGAAAUAAUAUUGGGUGAGAACACAGCGAAAUUCCCUGCCGUGCUGCAAUGUCGAUCGUGGCUCAUAGCGUAAAACCAUACUAUAAGCUGACAGUAUACAUAUUAUUCAGGCUGAAUCAGUAGCAGGUGAGGCCAUAGCGAAAAUCCAUGCCGCGACCACGCCAUGAAAAAAGUUAAUAUCCAAUUGAGACCACGAUGGUGCCAGCCAAAAGGAUGAUUGUAUUUAAUGACUGUCAUGGUAUGUAUAAUCCGGAUUCUGGCGAAGUACCAUGCCAUUAUCGUGAACUUCUCUGCGACCAUGCUACUGCUUUGGUGCCAACCAGAGAAUUCCAUGCCUAAUCAUUAAAAGCAAAAUAAUCUUGAGUUGGGGCGAAAGAACCUGCCCUAAUUCAAGGGAAAUUAUCAAUUCUACUGCGACUAUUACAUGCUCAUAGUGCCAGCCAGUGGAAUCGAAUAGUUGCUGGGUUACGGCGAACACCAUGCCACUCCCAAUUUUUUAAAAAAAUCAUCAUAGCGAAGAAGGUUUAGAACCAAAUAAAGUAUGAUUACCUCAAAUCACAAUUUAAAAUACAUACAUGUCUUGCACCACUAAAUGCCAUAAGACUGAAAAAAGAGAUAAAAGGCAGGAAAAAAAACAUAGUGAUGGCAAACAGAGUUAUACGAACACCUUGUUUUUUUUGUUGGUUGGUUUGUGGGCUCCACCUUCAAUUGUUAGACUAUGAGGUGACCCAUGAGUAAAGUUGCAAGGGAUUCAUAUGCCUUUCAUAUGCCCAAGUGAUCAUCGGCCCGGACCUCGUGGUCGACGUAUAGAAGUGUGGAUUCAGACUUCUCAUGGCUGUCAUUGCUUUGUAUAACUCCUAUUGUUAUUUAUCACCCUUCAUGAAUGCUCUCCUCAGAUGCAGUUCUCAUGAACAUGUCUCUUGGACUUUAAACUCCACACCCAAAAUUGUUGCUCUGCCUGACCUCACUCAGGCGAUCAAAUCCACAUGCAACUAAAACUCAUGUGCCACAGUCUGAACAUUGGGAAGGAGAGUCCUUUAUUUUAUUUUAGGGCGAACUGUGGCCCUUUUUGUUUUAUUUAAAAAAUUUAGAUGAAAAAAUUAAUCCAUGAUCAGCAAUGAGGAUGCUGUAUGGACACCAAGAGAAAAAACUUUCUUUUUAUUACAUUCUCCUGAACUUGCCCUUGGGCUGCUAGGCAAAAUACUUCUUGAGGAACUUGCCAUUGAUAGGAGGCAUUGGACGCACACCCUCUUGAUCAAUGAGUUGAUAAGCGCCACCAUCAUAAACCUGUUCAAUAACAUAUGGCCCCUCCCAUUUGGGCUCAAAUUUUCCUUUACCUUUUCCUAUGAGCACAAUAGGACGCCGAAGAACCAGCACCAGUUCUCCUUUUCUAAAAACUCGCGGCUUGACGAGUUUAUCGUAGGCUCGUACCAUAUUCUUACGAUAAAGCUCAAGAUUUUGAAGUACACGUAGGCGCCCCUCUUCAAUAGCGUCUAACUCCUGGUACCGUAAUUUGACUUGUUCAUCUUCUGUCAGCUCAUCACGUAUCGCCACACGGAGCGACGGUAUUUCAACCUCAAGUGGUAAGACAGCCUCGCUUCCGAAAACAAGAGCAUAUGGCGUACUCUGUGUUGGUGUGCGAACAGUAACACGGUAUGCCCAUAAAGCUUCAAAAAGACGAUCAUGCCAAUCUUUUCUAUGUUUUGUCACUGUCUUCUUUAAUAUCUUUCCAAGAGUUUUAUUGAAUGCCUCAAUCAACCCAUUGGCUUGUGCAUAGUAUCCCGUAGUAUAAUUCCAAUGAAUUUUGUACUUCUCAAUAAACUUGUACAUCUUAUGUGAUUUGAAGGCCUGGCCGUUAUCAGAAGUAAUACGACGAGGAACUCCAAAACGAUAAAUGAUAUUUCGCUCGAUAAAAUUGAUGACAUUACUAGUUUUCACCUCACGUAAUGGUACUGCUUCGGCCCACCUUGAGAAGUAAUCUGUGGCUGCCAAGAUGAAACGAUGACCUUCAGCAGAUGGCGGAUCAAAGGGACCAAUUACAUCGAUGCCCCAAGCAUCGAAUGGCCAAGAAGGGACGGUCGGGUGUAGUGGAACAGGUGGCCGGUGCUUGAAGUCUCCAUGUAUUUGACACAUGUGACAUGCUUUGGCAGCAUCUAAGCAGUCAGUCAUGAUCUUUGGCCAAUAGUACCCAGCUAGCCUGAUGCUAUGAUACAUCUUAGCUCCGCUCUGAUGUCCACCACAUACUCCAGAGUGCACUUCCUUCAAUAUACUAUUUGCCUCAUCCCGCGACACGCAGCGGAGCGUCAAAAGAUCUUCUAAACAGAAUACCGGCUUUCAACAAAUAGGAGGGAGCUCGACGCAAUAGUUGUCGCCUUGCCACUGGAUCAUUAGGAUGGAUGCCAUGAUUGAAGUAAUCAAAAAAAGAUUUACGCCAAUCAUCUUCUUCAACAUUAGCAACAACGACAACAUUUACUUCAUGUUCCUCUUGUACAAGUUCAAGAACAGCAGGAAGGAGCCAUCGCUCCUCUACUCUGACAUGAGCGGACUCAUUAUUAGGAAAAAUUAGUGCAGCUGCGAGUUUUGCCAAUGCAUCCGCCGAUGCAUUUUCACCUCGUGGAAUGUGAUCAACCUGGAUAAAUUCAAAUUUUUUUAUUAGUCCCUGGGCAGCAAGACAGUAAGGUACCAACUCUUGCUUGCGUACUUCAUAAAUACCAUUAAUCUGCCUAACAAUUAACUGCGAGUCACCAUAAACAUGGAGAGUCUGAAUAUUCAUUGAGAGUGCUAAAAGCAAACCAAAUAUAAGCGCUUCAUACUCUGCUUCAUUAUUCGAACAUUCCUCUUUGAGAAGGGCAAAUGAAUGGUAGAAUGUCUCACCCAUAGGGCCUUUAAACACCACGCCUGCUCCUGCUCUCCUUCUAGGUGCUCCGUCAAGAUCUUUCUCUGUGCGGGCAGCCCCAUCAAAAUACAACUCCCAUGUACUUGAGGUGACGUUGAAUAUUUCCUCGUCGGGAAGAUCAGUCACCAAUGGUGAAUCAUUAGGCACAGGAUGUGCUGCAAGGAAUCUGCCAGCACUUGACCCUUGACCGCUUUUUGUGGUACGUAAGUGAUGUCGAACUCCAUCAUUGGAACUGCCCAUUUGCCAAGUCUUCCUAAAAGUGCAGGUUGACUGAGAACAUACUUCACAGGAUCAGCUCUAGCAACCAGUUGAAUUUCAUGAGCUAGCGUGUAAUGUCUUACUUUCUUCAAGGCAAAAAUUAAAGCAAGGCAUACCUGUGUAAUUUUGCUCUGCUCCCACCAUGGUACGACUGAGGUAGUAGCAUGCUGCCUCCUUCCCUUCAUCAUUGUGUUGUGCGAGGAGGGCACCUACAGAAGAAUCUUGAGCUGCGAUGUAAAGUAUAAGCGGCCGUCCUUUAACAGGUGCUGCUAGAAUAGGGGGAUUCAGUAAAUACCGUUUAAUGCUUUCAAAGGCAUUUUGACACUGCUCGUCCCAGUUGAAUGGUGCACCCUUCUUCAUGAGUUUGGAGAAUGGCUGGAUUCGCCCCGAGAGAUUCGAUAUGAAACGCCGAAUAUAUGCCAGCUUUCCCUGCAAAGAUUUCAACUCCUUUAAAUUUUGUGGAGGUGGCAUUUGGACAAUUGCUUUAAUUCUUUUUGGCUGAAUCUCUAUACCACGAUGGUGGACAAUAAAACCAAGAAACACACCUGACUGAACAGCGAAAGCACAUUUGAGAGGGUUCAUCUUCAAUUGAUGCGUCCUCAAUCUUUCAAACACGACCUGAAGAUCCUCCAUGUGUCUUCCUUGUUCUCUACUCUUCACUACCAUAUCAUCAAUGUAACACUCAACAGACCGAUGUAUGAGAUCACCAAGCACGUGAGUCAUGGCCGUCUGGUAGGUAGAACCAGCAUUUUUUAAACCAAACGGCAUUACUGUAUAAUAGAAGUUGCCCCUGGGCGUUCUAAAAGCUGUGUCGAUGGCAUCAUGUUCAUCCAUCUUAAUCUGAUUAUAUCCAGAAAAUCCAUCCAUGAAUGAAAGAGCACCAUAUCCUUUAGUUGAAUCAAUCACCAUCUCCGUCAUUGGGAUGGGGAAGUCAUCCUUAGGGCAAGCCCGAUUGAGAUCACGAAAAUCGACACAGAUUCAUAUUUGCCCAUUCUUCUUCUCUACUGGCACAAUAUUGGCCAGCCAUCGAGGAUAUCGUACUUCUUUUAUGAAACCCGCGGCAAUCAGUUUAUCCACUUCAUCUACUAUUUGAUCCUGCAACUCAGGACGAAAGCGCCUUGGUAAUUGCUUUACUGGACGAAAUUGUGGAUCGAUUGCUAAUUUGUGUGUAGCAACUUGAGGGUCAAGUCCAGGCAUUUCCUUAUAUGACCAAGCAAAACAAUCCCGAUAUUCCAUCAGGAAUGCCCUGUACAUUUCUCGCUCUUCAUAGGUAAGGGAUGCACUGACAUAUGUAGGUCUGGGGUCUUCCUCGGUACCUAAAUUGAUUUCAACUAACUCAUCAAUAGUAAGCUGAAUAUCAUCUUCGAGUUGCUGGGGAGCAGGAGCGGCAUCGAGAACCUCUCCAUGAGCCACCGGCAUGGCCUCAUGCAUCUUGGAGAGGAGAUAUUGUUUAUUUCUCAAACCUUCACAAGCAUUUGCCGCGGCUUCAAAGGAACGUGGUUGAUACGGACAUGAAUAUAUUGGCAUAAGCUCGUCGUCAUCUGAAGAUGCUUCAUCUAAACCAAGAUAAUCUUUAUUUCUAACCGAAGAGGUCACGCAACUAUUAACUCGUUGUACCAUACAUAAAUCUUCAUCGUCAUCUGAAGAAGCGGCCUCAUUAUAACCAAGACCAUACUUUGGUUGAACUGUACUUCUCUUCCUAAUUAAACUCUCCGCUUGUUCCCACCAUUCUUCACAAACAACUGGUGGUGGUGGUAGCCUGCUAUUUGGUUGUACCAAAAUUCCUGCCUUUUUUAAUAAUGGAAUCAUCCUGUCCUCAACUUUCAUAGUCAUGAGUGCUUCUUCAAUGGCAAGAACCCGAUCAGACUGCUUAUAUAUGUCAUCACAUGGUCGCUUUUCUGGGACCUUAUAAAAAAUAGUAGGCAAGGUGUUCUCACUUUCUUUUUGAACAGACAAAACAUCCAAUGGUGUGGUAACUGAAACAUAUAGUGAGGGGGGUUGCAUAAGCAAAUCUGGAACCCUCAACGUUGUGCCUGAAGGUUCCUCAUCCAAUUUCGUUGUGAGAACCACAGGAAUAGCAGUCGUUGGAGCAUGUGCCUUUAACAAAAUAGGAGCAGUGACUGAUAAAGCGUGCCCUCUUGUGACCCCUACCUCCAUUGAUGAGCUAGUAGAUGAAGCAGUGUCUGUUGUUAACAAGAUUGGCGUAGUCGCAGACAAAACCCGUCCUGUAGGCCUAGAUGAUGAACCUUCUGCUCUCAUAUUUGCAUUACCACAUUGCUGAUCUCGUGACUUCCUUAUCAAAGCAGUCUCUCUUGAGUGGGCUGAGCAAGGUGUGAUUAGAAAUUUCAUUUCCGUGGGGGAUGGUGUAGCAUCCGGCGUGACUAACACAUCAGCAUUAGAUGUUGUUCGUCCCUGCUGUUUCCCUGACUCGAUACUCGGGAAAUAAUAUUUAGCAUCGGCAUGGUGAACUUCUUGAAUUGUAUAAGGAGCAGUAUUCCCAGCGAUACAUUGUUGUUCUCCAUUGCCAUCCAUGAACUUUAGGCAUUGAUGCAGUGUUGAAGGGACUACACGAUAUUUAUGUAUCCAUGGUCGCCCCAAAAGUGCAGAGUAUGAAGCAUUGGCCUCUAUAACGAAGAACUUAACUUUGAAACUGUAAGACGCCAUCUGCAACUUAAGAGUGAUAACACCUAAGGCAGGCUUGGCAUGAUUAUCAUACCCACAAAUUACUACCUCGGUGGGGCUUAGAUCAUCCAUUAUGUACCCUGCUCGAGUUAAACUUCGUACAGGCAGGAUGUUCACAGCAGAGCCAGGAUCGAUCAAUAUUCUUCGAAGAUGUGCAGCUCCAAUAUUUCCCUCAAUAUAGAGGGGGCGAUUGUGAUCACCAUACUCCAUUAUUUGGUCCUCAUCAGAAAAGGUUAUCUGAUUAGCAUAGAGUAGAUUGUCAAAGAGUCUGUGCUUGGCCAUUGCCGCUUGAUAAUGUUCAGGCUUUUGCAAAGCUUUAAUAAGAGCCUCUCUAAGUUCCGGUAGAAGCACUAAUGCAUCAUAAACGCUUAGUAGUGCUGGAAUCCGCUUCAAAUGAGCAAUGACAUUAUAUUCGACAUCAUGCUCUUUUGCCUCCUCGUCCCUCGACUUCUCUUGUUGAUUGUUCGAGACAGUUGCCUCCCUACUUGUGGCUGGUUUAUCUUUCUUUGUUCGGUACUGCUUACUUCUCAUGGGCUCCGAUAGUACCUUUCCUGCCCGCAAGUUCAUAUGUACCUCCAUUUCUUGUUUCUCCAGUGACGUAUCAGUUUGCAAUGCCUCACAUUCUUCCUUUGUGAACACUACUUCAGUCUCUGAGUCAUUUGUACUUCCACUAGAGGCAACCAUGUUGCAUGUAGCAUUCUCAGUACUUAAUUGUGGUCCAUCCGGCAAAUCAUUUUUUACGUCAUGGUGUGACUGGUCCCAGCUUUGCGGGAAAAACUGGGCUAAAGUGGGAUGUACACGCCUUGUCCGAGGAAAAGAUUCAUUCCCUUCAGACCUGGGAAUAAAUCUUGGCGGCAUACGGCGAUGACUCGGGUUGGGACUCCGUCUAUUUGCUGACGUAUAUUGUAAGAUGGACGGAGAGCUCAUGGUUCCCUGAUGCACCUUUGUUUGAUUACGUCUAUGAUGAACUCUGCUCCAAGGGUGUGAGCUAUCUUCUGAAACUAUAGGUGUAAGCCGAAGUCCCUGAAACUGAUGUUGAACUUCAGAAAAUGGCAUCCAAUAUGCCUCUUCUGAACCAUGUUUCUGUAGUACCUCUGCUUUAUUAGUGGACACCAUGUUUACUUGAUGAUAAUCAGGAUUCACGGCUUGCGGAUCAAGAUUCAACUUCUUCUCAUCGAUUGCCCUUUGCAACCAUUCUUUAAAAGCGACCCAAUCUUCUACUACAUGACCAACGUAUCGAUGAUACGGGCAAUAUAACGGAUUGUCUGUCAUUCCCGCCUGGUCGGGCCGCCGCGGUUCAGGCAAGUUCAAAGCCCCUUGUUGUGAUAGCUGAUUAAAGAAAUUUUUAACAAACUCUCUCCUGAAUAUAUAUUGCUUUUUAAGCAAUUCUUGAAUACUAGGGCGGGUUCUCUGCCCCUGUUCAUUCCUUACUCCAAGAGCCUGCAUAUUUUGGCGAGGUGCUACAGCCAUCGUAGAUAGCCUGGUAGUAUUACUUUCUGCUUGUAUUUUAGGCUUAUUCCCAUUAUUAAAUGGUUUUGCCGUUGACUGAAACUUCUUCGAGUAAUCUGAAGUGCCUGCAUUUUUGUAUAACUCCAUAAUAUGUGGAGCCUUCUCAAAUUCUAAUUUGGUGGCAGCAACAGCGUUACCAAGUGCACUGAAAGUUUUAGGCUCGCGCCUAGAAACCUCUAACGACCAAUGUUGCUGCAUUCCGUGCACACACAUGUCGACAGCAUCUUCUGGGUGCAUCUCUCUAGUCAAGCGCACAUAACUGUUACGAAAUCGGACGAUAUAGUCAUCUAUCUUUUCAUCUCUUCUUUGUUUAAGCUGUGACAACUCCAAAAGGGAUGUAUCUUUGCUCAUGCUAAUGAAAUGAGAUUUAAAAAGAUCCUUCAUUGUUUGCCAACUGCGUACUGAACCAGUAGGUAAGCGACUAUACCAAUGAAAGGCCGGACCUGUCAAUGAUGAUGAAAACUGACGAAGUAAAAGUGAGGGCGAAUUGGCUGUGUCACCACACGCUGCUUCAAAAUAGACGAGGUGUUCCCUUGCAUCACCAUUACCAUCAAACUGCCUGAAUUUUGGUGGACGCCAUCCAGCAGGAAAAGCUACCUUGUCAUGCCACGCCUCAUAUGGCUUCUCCAACUCACUUUCAAGGGUUCUAGGUGUUUGUUCUUCUGCAAUUUGCUUCAUUUUUCUGUUGAUCAACUCUUCAGCGAUGUCAUGAUAAUCUCUUAGUGUCCCUAAUGCAGGAGCUGCUGAUAUAGGAUGUGUAGGUGCAAUUGGCAUAUUUAGAUGCACCCCUCCUGUGAAUUGAGGCUGCUCAACUCCACCUGUUGCACGAGGCGUAUGCUGGUGUUGUGCCAUAGCUUCCAACUCGGCAAUUUGUGGAUCCACCACUUGUGGUAGAGGAUUAGCAGAUUGCGUCCCAUUUACAGCAAGUUUUGCAAUCAUAUUAAAUAGUUGAUCGAUCUUUGUAUCAAUAGCAUCCAUCCUUCUACGUGUUUCCCCGUUUAGAGCACCUGAAGUUCCUUCUUGAUGGUGUAAAGAUCGAGCCUUCUCUUCUUCAGUCACAACUGGUCCUGGUGGCAAGUCGUGUUGUUUCCCUGCAUCAUCUUGUGCAAUGGCUGCCAGACCUAGCUCGUCCUGAUUAGUAUGGACAUGAACUGACGCAAGAUUAAUUGCCCGUGCAACAUCCUCAUUAUCCAAAGGCUCUGAGGCGUCAACCUUUGGCAGUGACGAGGAUGACUCCGCGUUUGAUCUUUCAUCACUAGUUUGUUCAUCCGUGGGAUCAAAAUCUGCAUUUAUAGUUUGUCGAGCCACUUUUCUCAACCGUGUAAGUGCCCCAUAGCGUUCUGCAAUUUGUUGGACCUGAUUCUGAUCAGCAGGAAGACGAGAACUAAUACUGGCAUAAGGUCUGCUAUACUCACUUGCGCGUAACAAAAUUUUAUCUUCUGGAGUUUUAUCACCCCUUGAUGUCAGCGGAAGACAUGAUGCUGUUAUCAUCGCACCACUCCUCUGUUUUAUCACAGCAUGCUUUCUUACAUGUUCUUUUGCACAGGGUGAAUUUCUCAUGAAUGAUGGAGUAGGAUUAGGCAGGAUUUCCUCGUCUGACGAGUAAGAGAACUCAUGACGAACAAGUGGCGGCUCCCACUCUGAAUCUGAAUUUUGCACCGACCGGACUGUCGCCAUACGACAUGCCACAUUAUUAAUCAUGUUGCCAGAUCGCCUUCUUCCAUUCCCAUCAUUCUUGAACCUAGUAGUGUUUGAUCCGUUAUCUCGAGGGAUCAACGCAUUAUUUGAUCCUUGUGGAGCUGAAUGAGAACCACCUCUUGGCCUUUCUGUACUGAGGUUCCUUUGCUCAACCCUUAGUGGUUUGGGAGCCAGAUGCUCUAUCAAUGCAUUAUAUCUCUCAUUUCUUUUCAAAUUUGGAGAAAUCUGAAGUGUUACACUUUCAUUAUCCUUAUAAAUUCGGCCAUCAGCCCUCACACGGACCUGCACGUGUCUUAGCACCAAAUCUUGCAAUUCUUGAUACAUCGCUUCACGAGUCCUCCUCCUCUCACGUUUACGCUGAUUAACUGUCAAUGCAUAAGGGGCCCUUGGGGUUGCAUCAAAGGUCGGUGCCCCCCGUGAAUACCUUGCAUGUUUCCAAGGUGCUGCCGUCAUGGGGUCAUGUUGCCUUGGUAGAGCAAACUGCUGCGGAACCCGGUUUGAGGACUCAAUGUUUUGCGAAGAUGCUUUCACUCGCCACUGAGGCUUAUAUCUUCUUGUUUCAGGCAGAGGGUGGCAACGAUCUCGACGAUUCCCAUGUGGCCAGGGAGUGUUUUCACGAUAAUGAGCAUAUGUGGAUAAUGGUCUGUUCCUAGGUGGAAGAUGCUGAUGUUCAUUUUGAAGUCUGCUUUGCAUUGCUCUAAUCUGAUGUUGCAUCUGUUCUAACUGAAGUCGGAGUUCCUCUGCUCUGGGCGCUGGUGUUUCAUUGGUUAAAAUAGCAAACCUGUUAUUGUUCUGCGAAGUAGAGUGAUGUCUCUCUGAGGUCUGGAAACAAGGUACCCGUACUUGUUGAUCCCGACUGAUAGAACUUCGUUGAGAACACAAUCUUGGCCAUGUUCGCUCCUUACUGAUGCGUCUCCAAAAUUCAUUCAUUAUGGUUUCUUUGACCAGCUCGCAACUGGCCCCUCGUUCAGGAGAAAGAACAAGAAACUCAUCGCUCAUAUCAGUGUACUGUUGAUCCUGACGCCUACUCACAUCUGAACUCUUAGACGGUGCAUCACGCCCGGCAACGCGAGCCCUUAAAUGUGACUGCAACUUCUUCACUUGUUGCCUCUUCCUUCUGUAAUUGCGGUGUGCGUUCUUUUUGUUCAGAGUUCGAGCACGUGCAAUACUAGAAUUCAGGUGUUGCUUGACGUUUUCCAGUUCUUGAAGGAGUUCAGCUUCGGUAGUAUGUGUAGUUUUGGUUUUGAACACUGAGAGGCGUUGCUUAUAGCCGGCGUUCAGAACGGCUCCUGGGAAUUUCAGUAACUUCCUAGCAUCCGUCAUUAAUGCUUGACACUCUCCCCUAGCCCUUGCAUCCACGUACUUCUGAACUUUCUUGGCGUCAUCUAAGUCUGAGGAGUGGUCUGCCUGGUACACAUACAUGUUGGAGCCAAAGCUUGAAACUACAACUGGUGGUAAUGAACCAAACCAAAAAACAAAAGGCUCCAUUUGGUUUGCGUCAGCCUUCGGUCCAUAGUUGGUGAAGCCCCCAUCUGCACGAGAUGUACACUGGUUAGCACUUCACCACACCACAUUAUCAGCCAAAAAAAGUGCCAAGGAGACAGAUCAUGAGUAGAUUCUGACGACUGAUGACGAGCAGCGAAGAUGGGAGGAGAGUCGAGUCCCACCGGGCGUGCCAUUUGUUUUAUGCGAGAUAAAUACUAAAUCUAUCCGCGUUGGCAUUUUAGGUGCGGGCGUGCCAGUAUACGAGUGUAUACGAAUUAAAACAAAAUAAAAUAAAGCACACAAAAUUAUGCGGAGAAAACUUGUAGUCUUUAUUGCUGAAGAUAUACAAAUCUCAUUUUACAUGCUCUUGGUAUAGCAUCUGACAUAUAAAAGACAAUUGCGUAAUUCUCAACUCCUAGAACCUCGAAGUGAUCUCUAGUUAAUUACAUUCAUAGCAUAUCUAUGAAAGACCUCCGAUUAAGCUGCCUCAAACGGUCAUCAUCAUUAUCAAACUCCUGGCUUCUGUCUCCAAGGCAAAAAGAAUAUGCAAACGCUAUGAGCAAAACAAUAAUCUCGCCAUGCCAAAAAUUUAUGGAUUCAUGCACCAAAUCAAACAAGGGAUAUAGAUCAAGUCUCAAAGAGAAAAUAAAGUGGAUCGUUCGGCCUCGUCGGUCACGAACAUGAUGUAUCCUGCCUCGUCGGCCAGGAAGUGUAUGUAAGUUCCGGCCUCGUCGGUCGCGGAAGAAAGUAUAUUGAGCAUGGACUUGAAGAUGAACCCUCAUCUGAUUGAGAAACAUGGUUCUGCAGAAUUUUGUCAAUGGCGUCUUGUUUAUUCCAGAGUGGGUAGCCAUGUCUUUAUUAAUAUUGGAUUAUCUCAUGAUGAGAAACCAUCCUUUGUAUAUCACGUGACCCCCUUGCUACCUCUGAAUAUAUGAUGUAUGCUGGACGAUGAUGUUGAUUCUUUUUGUACAGCUAUAUUGCUUUCCCUUGUGACUCCACACCAUGAAAUGUUUACGGCGACGAUUGAAGCGUCAGGUAGAGCCAUGAAACAUCAUAACCUUCCCUUUUCCUUUUACUGAUCAAACCAUAAACAUCCGUGGCGACGACUUGAUCGCCAUGUAGAGCCAUGGGAUGCCAUCAAACUGUUUUUUUGUAGAUCGGGUGAUAGAACGUCCGCGGCGACGAUUAGAUCGCCAUGUAGAGCCGCGGAUGCCGCCGAAUUCUUUCUAUAGAUCAAACAAGGAAACACCCGCGACGACGAUUAGAUCGCCAUGUAGAGCCGCGGGACACCGCCAAUUUUUGUUGUAGAUCAAAAGAUGAGAUAUCCACGGCGACGACUAGAUCAUCAUGUAGAGCCGCGGGACACCGCCGAUUUUUGUUGUAGAUCAAACGAUGAGAUAUCCACGGCGACGACUAGAUCGUCAUGUAGAGCCGCGGGACACCGCCGAUUUUUGUUGUAGAUCAAACAAUGAGACAUCCACGGCGACGAUUAGAUCGCCAUGUAGAGCCGCGAGAUUCCACAAAAAGAAGUGAACAAAGAGAAGAAAAAUAAAUAAAAGAGAUAAAUGAUCAUAUGCAACCUUCAUAUGAUUUACUCACCAUAUGGUUGUGCCAUCGACGCCGGCCACGGAGGGAAACGCCAGACGAGAAAUGAAGAUGUGUGUAUGUGUGAGUGCUGGGAUGGAGAUGAUACGAAGUGUGUGUGUGUGUGUUGAAUGGUGGUGAGAUGAGCGUGUAAAUGGUGCGCGCGUUGUGAGUGAG
rnacentral:lncRNA from 1 species